rnacentral:rRNA from 1 species
UACGUAGGAUGCAAGCGUUGUCCGGAAUUAUUGGGCGUAAAGAGCGCGCAGGCGGUAUGACAAGUCAGAUGUGAAAGAGGCCGGCUUAACCGGCAAGGGUCAUUUGAAACUGUCAGACUAAAGUGCAGCAGAGGAUAGUGGAAUUCCCGGUGUAGUGGUGAAAUUCGUAGAUAUCGGGAGGAACACCUGUGGCGAAGGCGGCCAUCUGGACAACUACUGACACUGAGACGCGAAAGCGUGGGUAGCAAACAGG